CCACGCACACUAAAAUCUCAAUGUCAGUCUUGUCACAAAGUAUUUAUCAUCCCACUUCAAUCAUCAUCUUCCUCCUACACCAAAUUGAACAAAAAUACUCUAGUCAACAUGAUUGAACAAUGCAAAAUUCUCAAGGAUUGAAAAGAGAAUUGAAUACUGUUCGGUAUAUAGACAACAAACCUCGCCACUGCCUUCCUCAUCUUCGUCAUUUACUUUUGACUUUGACUUGUCAGAAUCAUCAUCAGCACCUCCAGCCUAUUAAAAUGUUCAAAAGACAGUUUAGUAUACUGUAGUUGGCCAAUGGAACAAACAUUUAUACAAAGUUCACAUAAGCACUCUAGCAACUAGCAUAGGCAAAUCCCAAAUAGACUGCAACAAUCAAUUAUCAAUUUUCUGCUUAUUCGUUCACAAAUUGAUUUUCUUAUUGUAAUAUUUGGGUGCAGUUUAUGCAAUUAAUUCUGUUAAUAUAUCUUAAAAUAAUAUACUAAGGUAAACAUUUAUUUUCUUUACCACCAAUUUCGUUAGUCAAAUAAAUAUUCAUUUUUGUCAAUGAUAUCAGAUGAAUGCAUAUAACACACACGCACAUAUAUAAAGCCAUAUAUAUUUGAAAAGGAUUGGAAAAUAGUAGAAAGAAACAAAGCAUUAAAACAUAAAAAAAUUAUUUCUUAACUGAUUGAUUAUUCCAUACCCCACUAAAUUAAUCACUUUGGUUUUACAAAGGCAGUCUGCAAAAUAGCUGAUCCAUUCACAUCAAACGUGGUUUAUCAAAGAGCACAAGCCAUCUCAAAAAUGGUGGGUGCAAAAUCAGUGUCUAACCCUUGAUCAAACUGUGAUAAUGUCUUUAUUUCCCAUCCUGUGUAGGCACUAUCUAAUUAAGAAUAAGUGUACUAAUCAUCAACUUAAUUAUAAAUCACCACUCUGAUUCCAAUUUAAUUGUAUUUGGAUGUGAACAUUCAUAAUCUAUUAUAACAUACCUGAACUUGAGAGGCUGCAAACUGGAGGAACUAGGAACAGCGGGCAGGGUGAGGCCGGAGGUGGUGGUGGCCGCUGGAGAAACUGGUGAAGGGCGUGAAGGUUGAGGCGGCCGCUCGAGCUCUGUCUAUUUCAGGCAGUGGCUAAGUGCAGCAGAGGCUGAGCAUAGCGUCGAUGGUGAC
rnacentral:lncRNA from 1 species